GGCCUGGUCGGGUGGUCUUGCUGCUUUACUGUGGUAAGCACUGCUUGGUCGGGUCUUUCCUUCUGGGGAACUAGUGCUGCCUUUUACUGGGACUGGCCUAGCGAUCCAGGACUUUUACUUUGAAAAAAUUAGAGUGUUCAAAGCAGGCAUUUUUCGCUUGAAUACAUUAGCAUGGAAUAAUAAAAUAGGACUUUUGGUUCUAUUUUGUUGGCUUCUAGGACCAAAGUA
rnacentral:rRNA from 1 species